GGUCGGUCGAGUGUGGCCUGUGUGGACUCGCAUCUUGCCCGAAGCCGGGCGGAGGAGAGCUCAAGCUAAGGGUGAUCAGCCCAUGACCUAAACCUCCAGACAAAAUAAAACGGAAAAUUUGCUAGAAUCAAGAAUGAUGGAUCCAUGUUCAGUUGGAGUCCAGCUUCGUACUACAAAUGAGUGCCAUAAAACCUACUAUACUCGUCACACAGGUUUUAAGACUUUGCAAGAAUUGUCAUCAAAUGAUAUGCUUUUACUUCAACUUAGAACUGGAAUGACACUUUCUGGGAACAAUACAAUUUGCUUUCAUCAUGUAAAAAUUUACAUUGACAGAUUUGAGGAUUUACAGAAGUCAUGUUGUGACCCAUUUAACAUACACAAGAAAUUAGCCAAAAAAAAUUUGCAUGUAAUUGACUUAGAUGAUGCCACUUUUCUGAGUGCUAAAUUUGGAAGACAGCUUGUACCUGGUUGGAAGCUUUGUCCAAAAUGCACACAGAUAAUCAAUGGAAGUGUGGAUGUUGAUACUGAAGACCGCCAGAAAAGGAAACCUGAGUCAGAUGUAUGUGUAAUAGUCAUUUUUUUCUACA
rnacentral:lncRNA from 1 species